rnacentral:rRNA from 1 species
AUUGAACGCUGCGGAAUGCUUACACAUGCAAGUCGAACGGCAGCACGGACUUCGGUCUGGUGGCGAGUGGCGAACGGGUGAGUAAUGUAUCGGAACGUGCCCAGUCGUGGGGGAUAACGUAGUGAAAAUUACGCUAAUACCGCAUACGAUCUAUGGAUGAAAGCGGGGGAUCGCAGACCUCGCGCGAUUGGAGCGGCCGAUAUCAGAUUAGGUAGUUGGUGGGGGAAAGGCCCACCAAGCCAACGAUCUGUAGCUGGUCUGAGAGGACGACCAGCCACACUGGAACUGAGACACGGUCCAGACUCCUACGGGAGGCAGCAGUGGGGAAUUUUGGACAAUGGGCGAAAGCCUGAUCCAGCCAUUCCGCGUGCAGGAUGAAGGCCCUCGGGUUGUAAACUGCUUUUGUACAGAACGAAAAGGUUUCUACUAAUACUAGGAGCUCAUGACGGUACUGUAAGAAUAAGCACCGGCUAACUACGUGCCAGCCGCCGCAGUAA